GACGAACGCUGGCGGCGUGCUUAACACAUGCAAGUCGAGCGGGAAGGCCACUUCGGUGGUACUCGAGCGGCGAACGGGUGAGUAACACGUGAGUAAUCUGCCCCUGGCUUUGGGAUAGCCACCGGAAACGGUGAUUAAUACCGGAUACGACCACUUCUCGCAUGGGAUGGUGGUGGAAAGUUUUUCGGCCAGGGAUGUGCUCGCGGCCUAUCAGCUUGAUGGUGAGGUAAUGGCUCACCAUGGCUUCGACGGGUAGCCGGCCUGAGAGGGUGACCGGUCACACUGGGACUGAGACACGGCCCAGACUCCUACGGGGGGCAGCAGUGGGGAAUAUUGGACAAUGGGCGGAAGCCUGAUCCAGCAACGCCGCGUGAGGGAUGACGGCCUUCGGGUUGUAAACCUCUUUCGCCUGUGACGAAGCGCAAGUGACGGUAACAGGUAAAGAAGCACCGGCCAACUACGUGCCAGCCGCCGCCGUAAAAC
rnacentral:rRNA from 1 species